CUAUUGUUUUAUGGGAAUAGUUCAAGAGGUCGAAAAUAAAGCAUCAAUAUGGUAUAAUUCAUGUAAAACGUGCUCAACAUCAUGCCCAAAGAAUGCUGAAACUACAAUAUGCAAAAAAUGCAAUGAGGAGGUUGUUGAGACAACACCGAGGUUUAGAAUAACCUUAAAUGUUAUACAAGGAGAUUAUGAUGCAAAUAUUACAAUGUUCGAUGAGGUUGCAGCAGUAUAUGUAGGAUGCUCGGUGGAUGAGUAUAUUUCAUCAAUCAGUCACGUAAGUUUUAAUUUUUUUCAUCAAUAGUCUUUGUCAAAAUAACAAGUACUAUCAAUUUUUAAGAAAUUUACUCAUGAUGAUAAUUUAAAUAUCUAAUUUCCCAGGAUGAAAACGAUUCUGCAUACUAUAGACGUCUGGCCGCUCCAAAUUCAACAGAAAUACGGUUUAUGACUACUAUAAAGCAUGCAAAACUUGAUGAUAGGGGAAAGCUAAAUCUUAUAGCAAGUGCAAUCCAGAAGAUAGAAUGUGACCCGAUGAAUGCUGUAAUGAAGUCGAUGGUAACAUCAAUUGAAGAAACAAAAGAUCAUGAAGAAGGAAGGGAAGAAAUAGUUAAGAAGGC